AGAAAAAGUCCCAAACAUAUAAAAAAUCCACAAAGCCUGAUGCACAUUGGACAAGGCUAGGUGCAAGCUGCUAAAACUAAAACAUUA